UGUACAGCCUGCCGGACACUAUUCGAAGAAGAAGAGUCUCUCUAUAGCAGAGGUAUUUUAUAAAUCCAGGCCUUGAGAGCCGGUGUCCUACAUGGUUUCCAACCAAUCUGCCAAUGAAGCUUCUUUUUGGCUAAACACACCUGAACCCGAUAAUCAGCAGCAGAUAAGGCGAGAUUUCUUGAAAACCAGCAGGAGGCCGGCCCUUGAGGCCUGGAUUUGGGCACCCUUGCUCUAUAGGAACAGAGAAACAGAAGAAGAGCAUCGCUCGCCAUUCCCUCAGCUAUAAGGCAAGCAGAGCAGGAGUGUUUCCCCAGAACAGUCAAGCAGAAAAAAGCAGGGGUCUGCAGGCUGAGCUGGACCUGGACCGGCACGAUGCAGACUGCAGCGAGUGGAAUAAGAGCUGCAAAGAGUCUCCUGUUGGGUACAGAGUGGUCAGGUCAUUCUGUCAGGGAGGACGCAGUGGAGUACUCAAAUGCAGAGGAACAAAACCAUUCUCAUUCACCAAAACACAACUGUUGGUUUGCUUCAUUGUUGUUUGAUGUUGUUUUGAUUUAAAAAAACAACAACCCUUUUCUAACUCUGGUCCUUCAAAUAUUCAAGAUUCAAAGGUUCUUGACAGCAGCACAACACAUUGAGCAAAUGAAUGAUGCAAAAACUUGUAUCUUUUCAAAAUAGAUAGACUUUAUGAAUGUAAAAAGCUUAACAUACCUCUUCAUGCUUCCAUUUCUUUCUGCUUACUUUCCAUCUGAUCGCUGUGUUUCUUUGGUUGAAACAAGCUUUUGUUGCUUUUGUGACCAUUUUAAACUCAAAUAACACAUGUUGACAGUAUUUAUUCAUUUGUUACUCAUUAAAUAGAGUUACAGGCAGGCUGUAGAGAAUAGGUACUUCACAAGUAUAGGACAAGUUAAGAUUUGACUACCACUCUUCUAAUCUUUCACUUUAGCUUUGCCUACACAAACAGUUCUGUCAGUAUUCCAUGAAGAUGCACCAGAUUCUUGCUGUGAUUUAGGAUUCCAGGUAUUCAGUCUGCCUCUGCGAAUACUCAGUCUUUAUUCCCAAGCUUUACUGAAGCAUGACCUGCUCACAUUACUAUGCUUUUAGUCCAUUUUGGAGAACAAUUAUGGUGCUUGUCAUGUGGUGCCUGUCCAAAAUAUCAUAAAAAGACGUGUCUGUGUCAAUGUUUACCUGUGGUCAUCAAGAGUCUCAAAUGAGGAGCAGAAAGAACGUUUAAACAUUAUGUACCUUAUGGCUAACAGAGUGAAAUGACCGAGAAUCAUCUUUGAAAUACACUUAAAUAUUGUCAAGAACAGUAAAACUAAAGUAUCCCAUUAACCAGAUCCGUUUAUAGUAAAUUGAAUCUUUUUUUCCAAUAUGAUUUUAGGUGUUUUUCCUGCUUAGAAAAAGUUUUUUUUUUUAUCUUUUUAUUAAAUCUGUAAUAUUAAGUUUAAGAGUGUAAACAGUGCAGUGUUUUGAUAACUAUUGGUGGUGCAUUCAGAUUUUCACUCAGAUUACAGAGAGACACAGAGUUAUUUUACUAUUUACAUAUUUCUCCAUAGGUUUUGUUACAAAUAUUAUUUAUUAGGGUUAAGUUUAUAUCUGUAUGUUGAAGUUAAAGUACCCACCCAUAAAUUAUCCAGAUUGUACUGGCUGCAUUAAAUGGGAAAGUCCAAAGGCAGACAAUAACAAUAAUAAUAAUAAUAACAACAACAAUAAUAAUAAUAAUAGUUAAAUAAAGGGCAUUGGUAAAAACUGAGCUAGAAUGGGCUAAAACCAACAGUUCAAAAAGGGUCACAAGACAGAGAAUCUGACUCAGAUCAACUUAUUACAGUCUACUAAAGACAAUAAACAAAAAUAAAGCAUCUGUGUGUAAAGAUUAGUUACCUUAAACCUGAUUAUGAACACGAGACACAUUUAGAAAAAAGCUCUACCUAAAAACACAAAGGAAAAUUUAGCAACAGUUUUUUUUGGCACAAAGUUUCAGAUAACUAACAUGAAUCAUAAGAAAACACCUAAAAUCCCCUCAUUGGUAAGUUUGUUGAACUCUGCACUUGCGUGUUUUCUUCAACCCUUACAAGAACCUAACUGCAUGGCAGUUUACUCCCCACUAAGGCUGGUUCCCAGUCAACAAUAAAAUUGCUGGUACUAGGAAAUUUGUAAUAAUACAAGCAAAGACCAAUAAAUGAUCUUCUUUGUUGUUAUUUUGCAAACAAACAAUUUGCCUUAUGCUUAUUUAGCCUCCAUGACUUGAAAUAGUUGUUUAAAUUUGAACUUCUGAUGACAAAAGCAUCCUUUUCCCUCAGCAUCCGAGGGUGUUCCUCACAACGUAACAAAUAAUUUGUAUUUACUUCUCAAGAUAGUACAUUUAUAAAAUGAUCAUUUAAGUUAUAUAUUAUCUGGAUUCAUCACAGAUGAAUUCAUUAAACAAGCUACUAUCAUGUGACCUUUAGUCAUUUCCUAUUUUUAACAAAGCUGCAGUUUGUCAAGAGGCAGAAAACUUCACCUAUCUUGCUAGCACCGUCGACAAGCCGGGAGGAACUGACCCGGACGUCAAAGUACGCACCGCUGAGGCAAGAGCUGCAUUCCAUCAGCUGAAGAACAUACGGGGAGCAACAGAUCUGACUCUCAAGCUCAAGAUAAGGAUCUUUAACCCAUACUACUCUACGGACUACCACUAAGCUGAUGAAGAAACUCCAGACCUUCAUCUCAGAAGAAUCCUGGAGGUGCGCUGGCCCAACAUCAUCAGCAACCAAGAGUUAUGGGAGCAGGACGGAGCAGCAACCAGUAGGAGAAGACGUCUCCAAAAGACGAUGGCGAUGGAUUGGCCACACCCUGGGAAAACCUGCAGCUAGCACUACAAGGCAGGCGGUGAGAUGGAAUCCCCAAGGGGAAAAAAAAAGGAGGGAGACCUAGGAGUACGUGGCGCCGAGAUCUGGAAGCAGGGGCCAAUAGCAUGGGGAAAACGUGGGGGACAGCUGGACCAACUCGCCCAAGACCGCUCUGCCUGGAGAGCUUUUGUUUGCGGACUAUGUCCCAACCGGAGUGACAGGCGGAAGAAGAAGAAGAAGAAAAAGAAAAAGCAGUUUGUCCAUAGUUUUUUAGGUUCUGUUUAGUUUCAGCAAAACAUUUUACGUUUCUCCAUGAAAUGUAAUAUCCAUUUGUAAAUUCCUGUUUUAUUUUGAAAUUUUUCUUCUGUCCUGAGUCAUUCUCCUAUACAGUCAAUUGUGAUUCAGGACGUUUUUGUCAUAUCGCUGUCCUUUUUUUUGUCUAGUUUGUUUAUACUCUUUGCUUUUAAAAAGACCUUAAUUCCUUAAUUCCUCGGAAUUCCUGAAUUCCACAUCCGCCCUAUGGACAAACUCUAAAUACAAUGCAACCAGCACUUAAUUGACUACAAUAAAAGAAAAAUAUGAAUUCAUUAUUUUAAACAAUAACACUUUAGAUCAAAAUCCUUUAAACUUUGACUUUACGCUUAAACCUACUGCAUAUGAAUUUUGCCCAAGUUGUUCAAAAUCAAAUGUGUGGCAGUAUUUCCCUAUAAGAAAAACCCAAAAGCUUUAUAAAUCUGCUUUAACAGCUCCACUUUUCUGCCUUCCUCUCAUCAGAUCUCAUACUAACAACACAUCUUGCUACAAUAUUAGCAUCAGUCCCUCUUGGCAACGUGAGCCACCAUAUAUUCCUCGGCAAAGAUUGAGUUUGCCAGGCAACUGAUGGCUCUCCCGGUAGUGACAUAGCUUCACGCUGGCGGCGGCUCUGCAGAGGCUUGGGAUGCGCUCAGCUGCAAUGUGGGAAGAUGUGAAGAUGUCCUGCAGUUUGGUGGUUUUCUCUGCAGCCUUUAGGACUGAUUGGUUAGCUGAAGCAGCAGCUGUCUCGUCUCUUGAGUGUGUUGUGGUUUUCUCAUGUUAGACGACUCUUGAUUGUUGUCUCUCUUUGUGUGUAAUUUGAUUUGAAGCCACAAUCUAGCCUGAUUAUCGAACUGUUGCAGCUUCAUUACACUUAAUGUGCAAAUAAACGCAACAGGCUCCACAACAACCAUUUCGCGAUAAGAACAAAACAAAAGCAGAAACAGGGAAAAUGUCAAAAGAUGUCCUUUUGGGUCAACAUUUUACUUUUAAAUGGCAUUUUAAUCCCUGGAGAUUUAGAUAUCUACAACUCAAUGGGUCCAUUCUUCACCUGUGCACACAAAUGAUAAAAUAACUUUCCUUUUUUUUUUCCAGAGGAUAUCAUUACAUUAUUUAGGAACUAUUCAACUGAAUUUGUAUAGUGGAGAAAUUGUGCAAAGUGUUACUAAAAACUAUCAAGUUAUUUAGUUUUUUUUGUUUAUUGUGAUGCUGAAGUUUAUGUACUUGCUGUACUUAUAGAGUUAUUUAUUUGUCUGUUUUGGGUGAUGUAACAACAAUGUGGAGGUUUGGCAAAAUCAUCUAAAGUACAACUUUCAUAACUUGUUUUUUAAUGCCAGUAGUUUCAGAUGUUCUGUUCUGUUUCAUGGUCACAGGUUCAGAAUAUCAUGCACUUUGGCAAUAUAGUGGGUCUCAUAUGGAAGAUCUGAAUCUUUUAAAAGUUUUUCUGGAAAAAAAAUCAUGCUUUGUGGUUUGUGGAGGAUCCGGAUGCAAAAGAGCUUGUCAGAAACUUCAACCAAAACCAAAAAAAAGGGGGGCUGCAAAAAAGCAACAUGCAAAGAUGCACUUUAGAGCACAAAUCUCUAAAAAUUUUGACUUUUAUAGACUUGGGGAAUAAUCACACUGAAGACCCCCUCCAAUGAAAAUUGUGUUCUUGGAGUUUUUAACAUCUUCUUGUGGCAUUUCUUUCAUUAUGGAGGACAGAUAUAAAGAAAUCUGAGACUAAAAUUGAAUAUCUGGGUAUUCAAAUUGUUGUCAAUCAGGUGCAGAUGAAAAGAUCUGCUGGAUAAAGCUUGUAAGUGUGACGUUACUAUAGCAACCCUCAGGCUCCUCGCUACGCUCAAUUCUGAUGCAUUGUAGACAAAUAGAUCCAUGUACGUCUUUGUUUUCCUCGUCUGAGCGGACAUGGAUAGCUCCAAUAUUUUUGCUGCACCAGUAACGUUACGUUUGGGGUGUGAGGGGCUCUGAGGUAGUUGGGAGUUGGGUCAUCUGGACCCUACAAGACUGUGCGCUGAACCUUUGAACACGUCAAUGUAAGGGUGGGGUCAUCUGGACCCCAUACGCUAGCAGAAGGGUUAGUAACCCAAACUUUAUGUAAGCAGUUAUCAAAACUACAGCAGAACUAAAACAAACCUAAAUCAGAAAAAUAAAAAUAUUCAACACACAGUUCUUGGACAAAAUGAGAACAAAAUAACUACAAACAGUUAACCCUAUAAGAAAAGGGGACAGCUCUCUGAUGCUCCUGAAAGAAAUCAAAUUGAACCGGACCAGGGAUGAGGGCGGUUGGAGAAGGGUCAGAGCAAACAGCAAACAAUGAACUAUAGAGAACUAAAAGUAUUCUUAACUAUAUCGUUGUGGUCCAUGCAGAAUAUAGUCCAUUUAAAAUACACGUCAACUAUUAAAGCUAAAUGUUGUGUUUGCUUGAUUCUUUUUGUUGAAGAAUUUGUGAAAACAGUCAAAGCACACAUUACUGCUAUAUCUGAACACAUUUGAUGUUUACCAUUUCUCAGACUUUUAAUAUUUACGGAAUAAUUUACAAGUAAAAAAAAGAAAGAAAAAAGACAGGAUUUGUUUUCAGGGGAAAGUAUAGAGAAAAAUAGUCCCUGGGUUUGUUUGUUUUUUUCUUUUUUGUUGGGGCGGUUUAUCCAAACUAUCGGUUUGUCACUGAGACACAUCAAUGUUCCUCCCCUUAUUAACCCCAUAACUCAGCUUCCCCUUUCAGCUGACCUCACCUUUUUAAAUAACCCUCUGUGUCUCAUCUCACACAGUCAAAGCGUCUCUAGUGCCACUCAGGGAACAUGCAUGAAUGUGUUUUCUCUGCUUUGUUGGGUUCGGUUCGCCCUUUCAACAACUGUGAUUUGUGAUCAAAUUACCUUUUUUUGCUGGAUACAGGUCUCACCUGGAGAGUUCACCUGACAGCACUGAUAACAAUUUUACUUUUUAAUUUGAGUCUGUCGCAUGUAAUGUAGUGAAAAAGCAACAAAAGUUGAUGUUUUGUGAUUUAGUAAAGUGACAAAACCACAGUUAAAAAAAAGCCUAAACACGCACAAAAAAGGCACGUUUUCUAUUGUUGAAUAAUUCUACAAAUAUUUAAACCAAAUCAAACCAUUUUUUAAAACACAUUUCAUGCAUUUCUAGCUCAGAGUGAAAAAAAAAAUAAUAAUAACCUUUUACAUAAAAACUAUAAAAAAAGAAAACUAUUAAAACACACACAAUGUCCCCAACCCCUUGAUCUCAAUACCCCCCAAAUUACUAAACAGAGGGAUUACUAAAUACAAUUUAUACAAUUUAAACUAUUAUUACAGCUUUAGGAUCCAUCUCUGCUUCAGCAUCAGUAUUGAUAAAAGGAGAUAAAGUACUCAUGUCGGUUGUGAUCAGUAGAUUUAGUACUUGGUCCCAUAACUCACAUAUUUGUAUGUGCAGUGUUCUGUUUCCUUUAUUAAAUGUACUGCAAUCACUUGUACCAAUGUCAACUUAUUUAGAUACAUUUUUUUUAUUUAUUGUUCAUCACUGACUGGUUAAUAUUUUUUUAAAACAUUUUUUGAAUCAUUUAUAAUAUAUACUAGUAAAAGAAUAAUAUUGUAAUUACAUUAAUUAUGUCAUGGUGCCUCUGUCAGACUCCUCCCCCUCCAGCUCUGCUCUGCUUCUGAAUGCCACCAGCUGUCGUCACUCAGCUCAUCACCCUCUGCUGCUCAAAAGGAGACCCAGCUCCAGUAUUCAACGCCAGUUCGUUGCCCCUUAUGGAAAACCACUUCACGAGUGACGUCAGUGUGGACCUUCUUCCAAGCCGCCUGGGAAAACCCGAAGACCUCUCGGCCUACGUAAACUGUGUUAACACCUCCAGCCACGCCACAAGCCACUGUCUAGUCCAGACCUCGCCAAGCCAACGCCACAACCAUCCACGGAAAAAAAAAUUAUUUCUUCCCUGCCACUUGCCUGUCUUCAUUCUGGGUUCCAGCAUCUGGGUUCGCCUCGCCUUGAAAAUCAUGAGAAAUUUAAAUAAUUAACUCAAAAAAGAAAAGAAAACUGGGGUUUGACUUUAUUUGUGAAAGCCCCGUUGGCAUUAAAAGGGAAGAUCCCCAUCAGUUCAUUAACAAUUUUGCACGGUCAUUAAGUUCUGUCAAAAAAUUCAGGAAGGGGGUGAGGUAGGACACAAAAGGUAGGAGACCUUAUGGCAGGAAUUCAUUUGAUAAAUAAACUUAAACAACAACAAAGUGUGACCCAAGGGGAGGAAAAUGUGACAAAUCCGAUGACAUGACAAGCAUGAACUGAAAACCAGAUAUUUAAAUUUAGUGAGGGUCAUUUACUGAAACUAGAACAGCUGUGAAUAGAAACUUAAACCUGAUGUGAAGCAGAACCAAUAAAACAGAUCUGACAACAAA